rnacentral:rRNA from 1 species
UACGUAGGCAGCAAGCGUUGUUCGGAGUUACUGGGCGUAAAGGGUGUGUAGGCGGUUAUUUAAGUUUGGUGUGAAAUCUCCCGGCUCAACCGGGAGGGUGCGCCGAAUACUGAAUGACUUGGAGUGCGGGAGAGGAAAGUGGAAUUCCUGGUGUAGCGGUGAAAUGCGCAGAUAUCAGGAGGAACACCAGCGGCGAAGGCGGGUCUCUGGACAGUUCCUGACGCUGAGGCACGAAGGCCAGGGGAGCAAACGGGG